rnacentral:snRNA from 1 species
GUGCUUGCUUUGGCAGCAUAUAUACUAAAAUUGGAAUGACACAGAGAAGAUUAGCAUGGCCCCUGUGCAAGGAUGACAGGCAAAUUUGUGAAGCAUUCCAUAUUUAA